GCUCCACUGUGAAAGAAGGGUGCUCGUGCUGUUGGAUUGUCCCACGUAGCCUCCGAGUUGUCUUAUCCUCUGACGUGUGUAUUUGUUUGCUGAGGGAAUGGCUUCUGUCCAUCGCAGUAUUUAGUCAUACUUUGGUGGAAGGGCGUGCGCACACAAAUUGAUGACUGCCGAGACCCGGUCUACCUGCAGAGGUGGUGGUAGUUCAUCGUCAGGCACUCGUGAAAACCGGAACUCGAAGAUUACAGAAGCAUGUCAGCUGUGGGGGGUUUGAGUGAUCCUGAUAACGUUCGAAUUUUGGACUGGAAAACAGACCUAAAUUAAGUUCCACAUUAACGUUAAAAGAGAUGUGUUAGAAGCCGGGUGUGACAGCUCAACAGCAGACAGAGACAGGCAGGCUGGUCUACUGAGCGAGCUCCAGGACAUCCAAUGCAGCAAAUGAAGGGCGCCUACCCUUGGGUUUGCCCUCCUGGUGAGGGAGGGAAUGUGACCAAAGGAAGUAGCACCACACGUUUCUUUGGCUAGGGAACUAGGAAGCAGUAUUUCAACAAUCCAAAGACAGCUUAAUUUCUAUGUAAGAAAGGUCGGGAAAUACCAGCAAGUAGAAGUGUGGAGCCUGAUAAGCAAAGAAGAGCAUCUGUGGAAGCAGUUGUGGAAGCCCUUAUUCUGCAGAUGUAUCCAAUGACCUCAGAGGAAACUAAGCAUAUUUUUAUAAGAAAGUACAAGAAAAUUAUUCCAAGAAUCUAAAGUUUGAACCAAAAAUAGUGAACUCCAGAAAACAUCCACUUGGAAUUUCAUUUUCUUCCCUAAUAUUUUAACAAUCUGACAACAACAACAAAACCUUUAAAACAGUGCUGUCCAAUUUGUCUUAAGCUACAAGCUUUAAAAGUUCCAUGAUCGGGAUUGGAGAUUUAGCUCAGCGGUAGAGCGCUUGCCUAGCAAGCGCAAGGCCCUGGGUUCGGUCCCCAGCUCCGAAAAAAAGAAAAAAAAAAGUUCCAUGAUCUACAGAGGUAUGGCCUGCACACUUUGGUAAGGUUACAAGUUAGAAAAGAAAACAAAAACUGACAAGCCAAAACAAGCAUGGGAGCUCUGUCUUUUUCUGCACACUACAAAAUUUCAUUGAAGAAACAUCCCAAAUAAAAAAAGAAGAAAGAAACCUUCAUGAUUCUCCGUUGCUGAGUUGAGAAAAACAAAACUGACCAUGCAGUGAUGGCAUAGGCCCUUAAUACCGGCACGAGGCAUCUCUUGAAUUUGAGGCUCCCUGGUCUACAGAGUUCCAGGACAGCAAGAGCUACACAGAGAAACCCUGUCUUGAAAAAACAGAAAAAGAAAAUGGAUGUCCACUUGUCAAGCAACUUGACUGCCUGAUUUGUAAUCUCCUUUGACAUGUUAUUUUUACUCUGUUCUUAAAAUCACCUAUUGUUUUCUUUGACAUCUGCGUGAAAUAUUUUCAGGGAUUCUACAUCUACAUUGUCCUUGUUCAUUUAAUACUAGCACUUUAUGAAGAUAGCAUUUCAUACAUUACAUACAUACAUAUAUAUGUGUGUAUGUGCAAUUUAUUUUUACUUUAUAUGCAUUGGUUUUUGCCUGCAUGUAUGUCUGUGUGAGGGUGUUGGAUCCCCCUGAAACUGGAGCCAAAGGACAGUUCUGAGCUGUCAUGUAGGUGCUGGAAAUUGAAACCAGGUCCUCUGGAAGAGCAGCCAGUGCUUUUAAACUCUGAGCCAUCUCUCUAGGACCUAAGAUAGCAUUUGUAAUUGUUCCUAUACUAUUGUAUGUGAAGGACCCUAGGGGUUUCCACCAGCCUUACACCCAACCACCUCAGGUCAAGGCUAGGCUAAGUUCCAUUCUCCACCCACAGGAACAUUUUUUUUUAAUUUUUUUUAUUGAUUUUUAUUUAUAUAAGUACACUGUAGCUGUCUUCAUACACACCAGAAGAGGGUACCAGAUCUCAUUACAGAUGGUUGUGAGUCUCCAUGUGGUUGAUGGGAAUUGAACUCAGGACCUUUGGAAGAGCAGUCAGUGCUCCUAACCACUGAGCCAUCUCUCCAGGCCCCACAGGAACAUUCUUGUAGAAAAUUCUCAGAAUGUACUUACUGAUGCUUGCUAGUC
ensembl:lncRNA